AUUGAACGCUGGCGGCAGGCCUAACACAUGCAAGUCGAACGAGUGGCGGACGGGUGAGUAAUGUCUGGGAAACUGCCUGAUGGAGGGGGAUAACUACUGGAAACGGUAGCUAAUACCGCAUACCAUCGGAUGUGCCCAGAUGGGAUUAGCUAGUAGGUGGGGUAAAGGCUCACCUAGGCGACGAUCCCUAGCUGGUCUGAGGGGGUGACCAGCAACCCGGGAACUGAGACACGGUCCAGACCCCUACGGGAGGAAGAAGUGGGAAAUGUUGCACAAUGGGCGAAAGCCUGAUGCAGAAAGGCGGCGUGUAUGAAGAAGGCCUUCGGGUUGUAAAGUACUUUCAGCGGGGAGGCGUUAACCGCAGAAGAAGCACCGGCUAACUCCGUGCCAGCAGCCGCGGUAAUAC
rnacentral:rRNA from 1 species